UACGGAAGGCAGCAGGUGGGGAAUAUUGGACAAUGGGCGAAAGCCUGAUCCAGCCAUGCCGCAUGAGUGAAGAAGGCCUUCGGGUUGUAAAGCUCUUUUAGUGAGAAAGAUAAUGACGGUACUCACAGAAGAAGUCCUGGCUAACUCCGUGCCAGCAGCCGCGGUAAUACGGAGAGGGCUAGCGUUAUUCGGAAUUAUUGGGCGUAAAGAGCGCGUAGGCUGAUUAGUAAGUUAAAAGUGAAAUCCCAAAGCUUAACUUUGGAAUUGCUUUUUAAAACUGCUAGUCUAGAGAUUGAAAGAGGAUAGAGGAAUUCCUAGUGUAGAGGUGAAAUUCGUAAAUAUUAGGAGGAACACCAGUGGCGAAGGCGUCUAUCUGGUUCAAAUCUGACGCUGAGGCGCGAAGGGCGUGGGGGAGCAAACAGGGAUUAGAUACC
rnacentral:rRNA from 1 species